GAUGGUGGUGGUGCACGGCGAAAGGGAAGAUUUUUCUUUAAAGAGAGUUGGCGAUGAAAAAAAAGAAAAGAAAAAAAGAAAAAAAAAAGAGAAAAAAUGGGAAAGGUUGGGGUGGAGUUUUAUGGGGCUUUUUCUGUUUGGGGCCUUUUUUGUUUUUUUUUGUUAAUUUGGGCUUAAUUGGGUUUGGGUUUUUUUUAGAAGGGUUUGGUUUUAUUUGGGUUGGUUUUGGGUUUGGUUAAGUGAAGAAAAAUGGAAACAUUGAGCGUGGUUGUGCCCACGCCACGAUUAGAAUCCGUUCUUUGGGAAGAAAAGAUUACAGCCUCCACCAACGUUCCUUGAAAAUUAUAUAUUAA
rnacentral:lncRNA from 1 species